GUAAUGCUUAGGAAUCUGCCUAUUAGUGGGGGACAACAUCUCGAAAGGGAUGCUAAUACCGCAUACGUCCUACGGGAGAAAGCAGGGGACCUUCGGGCCUUGCGCUAAUAGAUGAGCCUAAGUCGGAUUAGCUAGUUGGUGGGGUAAAGGCCUACCAAGGCGACGAUCUGUAGCGGGUCUGAGAGGAUGAUCCGCCACACUGGGACUGAGACACGGCCCAGACUCCUACGGGAGGCAGCAGUGGGGAAUAUUGGACAAUGGGGGGAACCCUGAUCCAGCCAUGCCGCGUGUGUGAAGAAGGCCUUUUGGUUGUAAAGCACUUUAAGCGAGGAGGAGGCUACCGAGAUUAAUACUCUUGGAUAGUGGACGUUACUCGCAGAAUAAGCACCGGCUAACUCUGUGCCAGCAGCCGCGGUAAUACAGAGGGUGCAAGCGUUAAUCGGAUUUACUGGGCGUAAAGCGCGCGUAGGUGGCCAAUUAAGUCAAAUGUGAAAUCCCCGAGCUUAACUUGGGAAUUGCAUUCGAUACUGGUUGGCUAGAGUAUGGGAGAGGAUGGUAGGAUUCCAGGUGUAGCGGUGAAAUGCGUAGAGAUCUGGAGGAAUACCGAUGGCGAAGGCAGCCAUCUGGCCUAAUACUGACACUGAGGUG
rnacentral:rRNA from 1 species